CUGAUUAAGAACAUGAUAACUGUUACAGUAUGUUAAUAUUCCUUCAAGGUCCCAACGUACCAUAAAUACCAGAAAAUGCAAAGCAUGGUCAGUGCUGCUUACUGCUGGACAUCUCUAUUAUAGACUGUCUCAAUGUUCUCGUUGUUCCUUUUUCCUAUGCAUAUACUUCUUUGAAAUUCCAAGUUAAAGAGGCAUAAGGCAUGGGAAAAUGGAGCUCUGGGCUCUUCAUCACUACAGCAGCUGCUCCCCAAAUUUUUUUUUAGGAAGAAGACAGAGGUUGAAGAAUACAAUGAUACAAUGUAACUGCUGCAUGGAAUAGAUUUUGCUUUUGUCCACCAGUGUUAUAUUUUAAUCAAUUUCUAAUGCAUUGUUUCAUGCAGUGUUAUUUAUUUUGCACAAUUAUAUUUAAUAAACAUUAUGAAUACAAUUAAA